rnacentral:rRNA from 1 species
AACGAACGCUGGCGGCAUGCCUAACACAUGCAAGUCGAACGGGACCUUCGUGUCUAGUGGCGCACGGGUGCGUAACGCGUGGGAACCUGCCCUUAGGUUCGGAAUAACUCCCCGAAGGGGGUGCUAAUACCGGAUAAUGUCUUCGGACCAAAGAUUUAUGGCCUUUGGAUGGGCCCGCGUUGGAUUAGCUAGUUGGUAGGGUAAAAGCCUACCAAGGCGAGGAUCCAUAGCUGGUCUGAGAGGAUGAUCAGCCACACUGGGGCUGAGACACGGCCCAGAAUCCUAGGGGAGGCAGGAGUGGGGAAUAUUGGACAAUGGGCGAAAGCCUGAUCCAGCAAUGCCGGGUGAGUGAUGAAGGCCUUAGGGUUGUAAAGCUGUUUUACCCGGGAUGAUAAUGACAGUACCGGGAGAAUAAGCACCGGCUAACUACGUG